rnacentral:misc_RNA from 1 species
AACGCACAUUGCGCCCCUUGGUAUUCCGAGGGGCAUGCCUGUUCGAGCGUCAUUACACCACUCAAGCCUGGCUUGGUCUUGAGCGCCGGGGGCGACCCGCGCUCCAAUUUUGCCGGCUGGACGACCCCGAUCUCAGCGUUGUGACACACAAAUCCGCUGGCGAGGAGGGGCGCCCGUGCCGUUAAACCACUAUCAUCAGGUUGACCUCGGAUCAGGUAGGGAUACCCGCUGAACUUAA